rnacentral:lncRNA from 1 species
AAUCGCCACACUGACUUCCACAGUGGUUGAACUAGUUUACACUGUUGGUGGGACUGUAAACUAGUUCUAAUUCAGAGUUUCUAACCCUCUGCACCACUGACAUUUUGGGCUGGAUAUAACUGUGUUCUGGUGGUCUGUCCUGUGCCUUGUGGGAUGUUUUGCAGCAUCCCUGGACUCUGCCCACUGGAUGCCAGAAGCACCUCAUCCCCAGAUAUGGCAACUGAAACUGUCUCCAAACAUCGCCAAAUGGCCCCAGGAGGGAACCUCUAUCCCUCACUCCAUUAGAACCACUGCUCUAACACAUGGUUAUUUUAUAUGUAGUCUGUCUCCCCCCCAUACUAUAAACUCCAGCAGGGUGCUUGCUUUGGCAAUACAUAUAUACCCAAAUUGGAAUGAUACAGAGAUUAGCAUGGCCCCUGUGCAAGGAUGACACACACUUGUGCAGCAUUCUACUAAAAAAAAACUGCAAAACCAUCAGAAGAGCUUUCUUCUCUCCUAGAUUCCCAAGGACAUACCCCAAUGCCUAGGCACAUCCCAGAUGGUGGACAAGAAUUUGUUGAAUAAAUGAAUGACUGAGAUGGCUAAGCCAGGAUUUCACAGCUCUAAUGACGGUGAAGACCACAGGUGUCAACAGCAGAGAAGAAAAGGAAGGAAUACAUCUGAGCCACAUUUAGAGAGCAGAAAUUAAAUUUUAUGGGAACACAGUCACUUCCAUUCAUUUGCAUAUAAUCUACGGCUGCUUUUUGUGCUACAGAAGGCAGAGCUGAGUAGUUGCAACAGAGACCACAUGACUCAUGAAGCUUUAAAUAUUUACUUUUUGACCCUUCACAAAAAGAGUUUGUAGACCCCCUUUUUAGAGAUUGUGUUUAGAAUAUAAAUCCUAAGUAAACUAUUAUGAAAGUAGCUAAAUGAUUUUAAUUAUUUGCAAAACAGAUUUCUAUUUUUACACAUUUUACCAUUGCCCUAUUUCUCACACACAUGAGAAAUUUGCAUGCACAA